ACGAACGCUGGCGGCGCGCUUAACACAUGCAAGUCGAACGGCAACAGAUCCUUCGGGAUGCUGGCGAGUGGCGAACGGGUGAGUAACGCGUGGAUACCUGUCUUUGUAGUGGGGAAUAACGUUUAGAAAUGAACGCUAAUACCGCAUAAGCCCUUUGGGGGAAAGAUUUAUCGCUAUAGGAGGGGUCCGCGUCGGAUUAGCUAGUUGGUGGGGUAAUGGCCUACCAAGGCAACGAUCCGUAGCUGGUCUGAGAGGAUGAUCAGCCACACUGGGACUGAGACACGGCCCAGACUCCUACGGGAGGCAGCAGUGGGGAAUAUUGCGCAAUGGGGGAAACCCUGACGCAGCGACGCCGCGUGGGUGAAGAAGGCCUUAGGGUUGUAAAGCCCUUUCAGUGGGAAAGAUAAUGACGGUACCCACAGAAGAAGCUCCGGCUAACUCCGU
rnacentral:rRNA from 1 species